AGUGAACGCUGGCGGUAGGCCUAACACAUGCAAGUCGAACGGCAGCACAGUAAGAGCUUGCUCUUACGGGUGGCGAGUGGCGGACGGGUGAGGAAUACAUCGGAAUCUACUUUUUCGUGGGGGAUAACGUAGGGAAACUUACGCUAAUACCGCAUACGACCUACGGGUGAAAGCAGGGGAUCUUCGGACCUUGCGCGAUUGAAUGAGCCGAUGUCGGAUUAGCUAGUUGGCGGGGUAAAGGCCCACCAAGGCGACGAUCCGUAGCUGGUCUGAGAGGAUGAUCAGCCACACUGGAGCUGAGACACGGUUCAGACUCCUACGGGAGGCAGCAGUGGGGAAUAUUGGACAAUGGGCGCAAGCCUGAUCCAGCCAUACCGCGUGGGUGAAGAAGGCCUUCGGGUUGUAAAGCCCUUUUGUUGGGAAAGAAAAGCAGCAGGUUAAUACCCCGCUGUUCUGACGGUACCCAAAGAAUAAGCACCGGCUAACUUCGUG
rnacentral:rRNA from 1 species